rnacentral:rRNA from 1 species
GUGGGGAAUUUUGGACAAUGGGGGCAACCCUGAUCCAGCCAUCCCGCGUGUGCGAUGAAGGCCUUCGGGUUGUAAAGCACUUUUGGCAGGAAAGAAACGGCUCUGGCUAAUACCUGGGGCAACUGACGGUACCUGCAGAAUAAGCACCGGCUAACUACGUGCCAGCAGCCGCGGUAAUACGUAGGGUGCAAGCGUUAAUCGGAAUUACUGGGCGUAAAGCGUGCGCAGGCGGUUCGGAAAGAAAGAUGUGAAAUCCCAGGGCUUAACCUUGGAACUGCAUUUUUAACUACCGGGCUAGAGUGUGUCAGAGGGAGGUGGAAUUCCGCGUGUAGCAGUGAAAUGCGUAGAUAUGCGGAGGAACACCGAUGGCGAAGGCAGCCUCCUGGGAUAACACUGACGCUCAUGCACGAAAGCGUGGGGAGCAA